GCCUCUUUUUGUUUCAGGUGAUUUCAAAUUUCAGGCCUCGCCAGACAAAUGUGGAUACUUGGUUUGAAUAAAGACAACACCAUGAGUAUUUUCGUUCCUACUACAGAUGCAUGUGGCGGUAUUGAUCGUCGUUGUCUGGAUAAAUCAGCAUUGAGCUGAACUAUGCUGAUGACUGGGAAGCUCGCACAUGCCCGACGGCCUGCUUGGAGGAUGACCAGUUGAUUGGAAAAACACCAAAAUGUGCCUCUAAACCCCAAAUAAUCCCACGACACGAUUUUUUUCUUAACCCUUAAUUAAACUACAAAUAACAGUUUGUGCAGUCAGACCGCUCUCAGGCAGCACGACCAAACUCAAGCCCGGAAGUUGCAGAAGGCCAGACAGAUUUUCUCCAAGUUUCAGUUAGCAAACGUGACCUGAUGUGAGGUCAUCUGAACUGCAGCACACACAGGCUGUCAUUGUGUCUCCUCGUCUCCGCCCUCUCUGUCAGCGGGGACGACUUCAGCACCGAGUGGAUUUGUUCUGGGCCGGGCAGGGGCUUCCUGUGACCGGGGGGGGAAACAUGGGCGCUGGCCAUCACCUCAACCGAAUGCAGAACCAAAUGAGAGAGGCCGAGAGGGACAGAAAUACUGAGAGUGUGUGGAUGCAGUAAAAAUUAUUGUAUGAUUAUACAUUGAUAGUUAAGACAAAGCAAGAAACACGAUGACCACGUAGACAACGACAGCUCCUUUUUAGGAUGACAAAAGAAAUAAAAAAAUAAUAAUAUUCAUGA